UCAAGUCCUUUAUUUGGUUUCUCCCUUUCUGGCUUACUUUUUAUCUUUUCACACUUCCACUAGAAUGUUCCUCUGAACCUGCCAACAAGAAUUCCCCACUGCCCACUGCUGUGAUUUGAUCUUUCACUUUUUUUGUUGUUGUAAUUUUCCCAAGUUUUUCUUUAUUAUUCUUGUGUAGAAUGGUGGUGGUGGGGGAUAUGGUUAUCUCUCCAAUUCAGGGGCAUGACCUACCUUCAAACUGAAUUUGAUGCUUUGUCUGCUCCUUAUUCAUCAGAUUCCUUCAAAAUUGUGCUGAUUCUUUUAACUUUUUAGAAGUUUUUAUUGCCAACAAACCGGUUCCAGAUUCAUAUAGCUAACACCAACUUGCUUUGGGAUUGAGGCAUAUAACUGACGUCAUUUGUGUUAUGGGCUGGCUAGAAAAGAUAUUUGGAGGUUCCACUCACAGGAUCUCUGGUGGGCAAUAUCAUGGGGGGUAUGAGAGUGGGCAAUAUCAUGGGGGCUAUGACGGAGGACAAUAUCAUUUGGGGCACGAAGGAGGGCAAUAUCAGGGAGGGUACGAGGACAGUACAAUUUGGGAGGGACCAACUGCUUCAGUGGAUGCAUUGUCAGAUUUCGAUAAUGAAGAAAUUGAUCGUGCCAUUGCACUUUCUCUAGCCGAAGAGGAUCAGAAAGGGAAAAAAGUAAUCGAGAGUGAACCCAACUUGGAGGAAGAUGAGGCGCUUGCCAAGGCUCUUCAGGAAAGUUUGAAUGUGGAGUCGUCUCCACCUCGAUAUGAUUAUGGAAGUUUCUUUCCACCAGUCUCACACUCGUAUCCACACGGAUAUAGGGUCUGUGCCGGUUGUAAUGCUGAAAUUGGUCAUGGAAGAUAUUUAAGUUGCAUGGGAGCUGUUUGGCAUGCAGAAUGUUUCCGUUGCCAUGGUUGCAAUCAACCGAUUUCUGACUAUGAGUUUUCGAUGUCAGAUAACCGUCCAUACCAUAAAUCAUGCUACAAAGAACAGCAUCACCCAAAAUGUGAUGUUUGCAAGAACUUCAUUCCAACAAAUCCGGCUGGUCUAAUUGAAUAUAGGGCUCAUCCUUUCUGGCUUCAGAAGUAUUGCCCAUCACAUGAAACUGAUGGGACACCUCGUUGUUGCAGUUGUGAGAGAAUGGAGCCCGUAGAUGCCAGAUAUCUGAUAAAUGAUGAUGGUAGGAAGCUGUGUCUAGAGUGCUUGGACUCUGCAAUAAUGGAUACUCAUGAAUGUCAGCCCCUUUAUCUUGAGAUACAAGAAUUUUAUGAAGGUUUAAAUAUGAAAGUGGAGCAGCAAAUUCCUUUGCUUCUAGUGGAAAGACAAGCCUUAAAUGAAGCAAUGGAAGGAGAAAAAAAUGGUCAUCAUCACAUGCCUGAGACUCGAGGACUCUGCCUCUCUGAAGAACAGACCAUUAGCACUAUUUCAAGGCGGCCAAAAAUUGGUGGUUAUCGGAUUUUAGAUAUGUUUACAGAGCCUUACAGGUUAAUUCGACGAUGUGAAGUGACAGCUAUUUUAAUCUUGUAUGGUCUCCCUAGGUUAUUGACUGGUUCAAUUCUGGCUCAUGAAAUGAUGCAUGCAUGGCUCCGGCUUAAAGGUUAUCCGAGUCUAAGUCCAGAAGUUGAAGAAGGUAUCUGCCAAGUAUUAGCUCACAUGUGGUUGGACUCUGAAAUUAUAGCUGGUUCUGGCAGUAAUAGUACUUCUGCAUCUUCCUCGGCGUCCUCAUCAUCCUCUUCAUCACCAUCUACUACUUCAUCAAAGAAAGGGAAACGUUCCGAGUUUGAGAAGAAAUUGGGUGAUUUUUUCAAGCACCAGAUUGAAUCAGAUACCUCAGCAGCUUAUGGGGAUGGAUUCAGAGAAGGCAAUAAGGCAGUGCUCAAGUAUGGCCUCAAGGCAACACUUGACCAUAUCAAGCUUACAGGAACCUUCCCUUGUUAAAUUAUUCAGUGACUCUGAGUGCUUCCACUUCAACUCGAUUCUAGUUUUAUAGGACCAAAUACCAUACAGAGGUGAUAAUCAUCAUAAUGAUAAUACAAUAAUGAAAAGAAGAGGAAGAGUGAUGGUCUAAUCCUGGUUGACUCCAUUUAAGCAGCAAACCUCAGCAUAUUUUGGUAGAUAAUGCUUCUUCAGCUAGAAGGGGAGCCUUGGCGUAACUGGUAAAGUUGCUGCCAUGUGACCAGGAGGUCACGGGUUCGAGCGAGCUUAGUGCACCGAACUGCCCUUUUAAUACUUCUUCUGCUAAUUUCACCCAUGUGAGUUUCAUAUAGUCGGUUCUAAAUUAGAACAAAGGAGGAGAGCUGCUGUAGGUUGAGGGAGUCGAUGCAUAAAUAAUCUACCAGACUGAGAGUAUUCAUUUAAAUUGAUUUCAGUUACUUUAGGAUUGAGUCAAGGGUUACACGUGGCCUUGGAAAUUGCAAAUGCUUAGCAGUACGUGCAUGAACAUACACAUUUAAGUUUUUACCCUUUUAAUGGUGCUCUAAAUCUAGCUGCCGUGGCAUCGUAUUAGAUGUUUGUUCUGAUUUUCUUAUCAUAUUUGGUUUUUCUAUUCGUUGAAGGAAGUGUAACAUAUUUAUCAUAAUUAUUUUUUCCUUUUAUGACAAGAAAAAUAUAAUUCUUCCA